CUCACUCACACACACACACACACACACACUCACUCACUCACACACACACACACACACAUACAGACACACACUCACACACUCACACACACACACACUCACACACACAUACAGACACACACUCACACACACACACACAGACACACUCACACACACACACACUCACACACACACUCACACACUCACACACACACACACACACACACACACACACACACACACACACACUCACACACACACACACACUCACACACUCACACACACAUACAGACACAUACAGACACACACACACACACACACACACACACACACACACACACACACACACACUCACACACACACACACUCACACACACUCACACACACACACACUCACACACACUCACACACACACACACUCACACACACACACACUCACACACACUCACACACUCACACACACAUACAGACACACAGACACACACACACUCACACACACACACUCACACACACACUCACACACACACACACUCACACACACUCACACACACACACACUCACACACACUCACACACUCACACACACAUACAGACACACACACACACACACACUCACACACACACACACACACACACACUCACACACACAUACAGACACAUGCAUGUAUACUGACACAGACACACACCCCCUCCAAACGCCUUCAAAGCUCAUGUCUUCCAUGUUGUGAAAUGUGAUGAUUCCUGUGCUGAGGUGUUUUUUCUGUUGUCAAACUGAUCUCCCCGUUGGAGCUCAGUCCGGGGGGGUCUUUUUUCUCCUCGUCUUUCCUCGUGUUGUGCAUUUUCCGUUGUUAUGCCUCUCUGACCUGUCUUCCCCAUGCGAUGUUUGUGUAAUGUAUGUAUGGUCGGACAGGUAAGACGGCGCUGGCACGGCUGGCAGCCUUAACCCAAUUUCCCUCGAGAUGAAUAAAGUAUUUUCAAUCAAUCAAUCAAGCAAUAUAUACUUGCGUUUUUCCUCAAUAGUUUGGUCACGUUUACUGUCUAAGGACAGCGCAGCGAGCACUCUCUGCUUAUGAGCUAAAAAUAAAAAACAAAACAAAAAACAGCCCGUUCGUGUUGGUGGAAAAAUGCACCAUGUCGACCAAUCAAAAGUGAUAUAGCAACAUGACGUUUACGAAGAGGGGGAAGAUUUAGGAGUGACGGCGAGAGAGAGAGCGAGUUUUGAGAUGUGAGAGAUUUGUGACGUUUAGCGUGUUUGGAGUGUGUAGUUAAUGUGUUGUCUUGUGUAGUUAGUGUGUAGUGUUGUGGAUAGUUUUGUGUGUCAGAACAAUGAGGCGGCUGCUGUCUCCAGGUAGAAACAGGAGUGAUACACCUGCUGCUGUCAGACCUGCAGGUAUCAGGCUGUGAUGUUUCCUUUAUAGUGGACAGAAAUAUUUGCAGUGGCACAAAUAAUUUGUGGCACCUUAUUGAAGAACAGCUGAUUGUUCUGUAAAUAGUUUGAAAUGGUUAUUUAAAAAAAGGGUCAAAGGUAAAUGGCUGCAAAUAACUUUGUUUGAAAACUUGUGCAUAUGAUUUUAAAAUUGGC
ensembl:lncRNA